rnacentral:rRNA from 1 species
GAUGAACGCUGGCGGCGUGCCUAAUACAUGCAAGUCGAGCGAACAGACGAGGGGCUUGCUCCUCUGACGUUAGCGGCGGACGGGUGAGUAACACGUGGAUAACCUACCUAUAAGACUGGGAUAACUUCGGGAAACCGGAGCUAAUACCGGAUAAUAUAUUGAACCGCAUGGCUCAAUAGUGAAAGACGGUUUUGCUGUCACUUAUAGAUGGAUCCGCGCCGCAUUAGCUAGUUGGUAAGGUAACGGCUUACCAAGGCAACGAUGCGUAGCCGACCUGAGAGGGUGAUCGGCCACACUGGAACUGAGACACGGUCCAGACUCCUACGGGAGGCAGCAGUAGGGAAUCUUCCGCAAUGGGCGAAAGCUUGACGGAGCAACGCCGCGUGAGUGAUGAAGGUCUUCGGAUCGUAAAACUCUGUUAUUAGGGAAGAACAAAUGUGUAAGUAACUAUGCACGUCUUGACGGUACCUAAUCAGAAAGCCACGGCUAACUACGUG